AUUGAACGCUGGCGGCAUGCUUUACACAUGCAAGUCGAACGGUAACAGGCCGCAAGGUGCUGACGAGUGGCGAACGGGUGAGUAAUGCAUCGGAACGUGCCCAGUCGUGGGGGAUAACGCAGCGAAAGCUGCGCUAAUACCGCAUACGAUCUGUGGAUGAAAGCGGGGGACCGUAAGGCCUCGCGCGAUUGGAGCGGCCGAUGUCAGAUUAGGUAGUUGGUGGGGUAAAGGCUCACCAAGCCAACGAUCUGUAGCUGGUCUGAGAGGACGACCAGCCACACGGGGGCUGAGACACGGCCCAGAGUCCUGCGGGAGGCAGCGGUGGGGAAUUUUGGACAAUGGGCGCAAGCCUGAUCCAUCAAUGCCGCGUGCAGGAAGAAGGCCUUCGGGUUGUAAACUGCUUUUGUACGGAACGAAAAGGCUCUGGUUAAUACCUGGGGCACAUGACGGUACCGUAAGAAUAAGCACCGGCUAACUACGUGCCAGCCGCCGCAGUAAAAC
rnacentral:rRNA from 1 species